AAUUCCCGCAUUUUGCGGGAAUAAAGAAUUUAUUUCUCGCAUUUUGCGGGAAUAAAGUUCUUUGCGCGGAAAAAAAUGCUAAUUUAGUCCCGCUUUUCAGGGAAUAAAGUAGCUAUUAGGGGAGAGGGGAGCUAACUUGAACGCGGGGUAAUACUAUAACUCUUCUUUAACUUUUGAGUACAGCACACCUGCACUCCGCCGGUAACCUGUAUAUAACAUCUCUCCAAAAGCAAAAUUUGGACCGUCGAACUUUUCUGUAGCGGAAGUUAUGUGUUUAGGGUUAGUCAGUCGAAAAUUCUUGAACACUUUCUGUAUUUUUUGAAAGUUAGAAAAAGAGUGACCACUCCAGUGUAUCUAAAUAUUAAUAUUGCAGGCCUGUGAGAUAAAAAAUUACGUGUUAAAAGGGUGAUUCUGACGCCGGGUCGAAUAGUGUAUGUAAGUUUUAAGUUGAAAAUGGUGCGUCAGUACCAAAGAAGAUCUAACAAUGAACAAUAUGACUCCAAAAUGAUAUCAGAUGCUGUAAAAGCUGUGAUAAUAGAUGGCCGAUCUUACAGAGACAUGGCUGGCCAAUCUACUUCUAUCUACUUCUAUACUAUUAUAUUAAAGUGCUUAGGGCUAUCACACGUAAAAAGGUACACCGAGGAACAGCAGCUGACAGCCAAUAGGAACCAAUCUUUAAACGGACUCAUUCCUUCAUGUUCUCUCCCCACCACCUCAAUAAGGAACAAGUCCGUUUAACGCUUACUUCUGAUUGGCUGUCAGCUGCUAUUCCUCGCUAUUCCUUUUUACGUGUGAUACCCCUUAAUGUCCCUGUGUGCCGUGAAGCCUUUCACAUCUUUUCCCAAUAAAUUAACAUCUAGGAUAUAAUUUUUGACCUUACAAUUUUUGGGCCUAAAAAUUUUUGUGCCUUAAAACUUUUGGGUCUCGAAUAUUUUUGGGCCUUAAAAUUUUUGGGCUUUAACAAUUUUGGGCCUCAAAUAUUUUUGGACCUUAACAGUUUCUGUAUAUCUGAUCAAUAUGUUAUUUAAGUUUUUAGUUAGCAAUUAUUUGAUUCAGAACUUCAUUGAUGUCAACAAUUCUGUGUUUGUUAUAUUAUGAAUAAAAUAAUAUUGCAACAUUACUACAAUAUUGUAUAACUUAUAUUAUUUAAUAUAAGUUAUACAAUAUUGUAUUAGCUAUAAUUUACUUUAUUCGAUUGAUCAUAUUUCUUUUUAGAUCUGUAAUUUUGUUUCAAUCGAAAUUAUUAUGUUACAUACUAUUAUUGACAUACUGUAAAAUAGAAUAAAUCAAACUCGGCUAACCGUUUACUUUUGUUGAAAGUUAAUAUUUUUGAGACACUACAUUUUGUUUCAAUCAAACUUAUUAAAAGUAUCUGAAAUAUGGUCUAGAAAUAAAAUGUAUGUUUUAUAAACAGUUUUAAUUACAAACAAAACACAGUUAAUGGACUCGACAUUGACAACUUUUGAAUCAUAAUUGAUUUUAUGUGAUUAAACUAUGUAAAAAAUGUGGUUCGAUUAAUGAAAAAAAAAUUACAUUAAUUGAAGUUUCUCAUUAUGUUAUUUUUUAUAUACUGCAACUGCAGAAAAUUCUCAAAUUUUUAGUUUGCAGGCUCCGCCUCAAUCAGUUACGUCAGUGACGUAAGCUAGCGGCGCAUGAUUAGAUUAAUAAAUAAUGUACAUAUCUGAUAUUAAUCAAUGCAGUCCGCGCAUGCGUACCAAUAUGUAUAAAUAGCCGCGGAAAUUGUUUUGAUUGCUCAGUCUGCUCUAGACUUGUGAAGCUGGCGCCCGAAAUAAAAAAAUAUUAUUUUUUAUGAA